rnacentral:rRNA from 1 species
CCUACGGGAGGCAGCAGUGGGGAAUUUUCCGCAAUGGGCGAAAGCCUGACGGAGCAAUACCGCGUGAGGGAUGACAGCCUGUGGGUUGUAAACCUCUUUUCUCAAGGAAGAAGUUCUGACGGUACUUGAGGAAUAAGCAUCGGCUAACUCUGUGCCAGCAGCCGCGGUAAUACAGAGGAUGCAAGCGUUAUCCGGAAUCACUGGGCAUAAAGCGUCUGUAGGUUGUUUAGUAAGUCUGCUGUUAAAGACUAGGGCUUAACCCUAGGCCAGCAGUGGAAACUGCUAGACUUGAGUGUGGUAGAGGUAGAGGGAAUUCCUAGUGUAGCGGUGAAAUGCGUAGAUAUUAGGAAGAACACCAAUGGCGAAAGCACUCUACUGGGCCACAACUGACACUGAGAGACGACAGCUAGGGGAGCAAACGGGAUUAGAUACCCCGGUAGUCCUAGCCGUAAACUAUGGAUACUAGAUGUUGCACGUAUUAACCCGUGCAGUAUCGUAGCUAAGGCGUUAAGUAUCCCGCCUGGGAAGUACGCUCGCAAGAGUGAAACUCAAAGGAAUUGACGG